UGAGAAUAAUGCCCGAUAGAACACUAUACCUGGAAUGGUUUGUGUUCCAAAUGAUUUAUCGCCAUAGGAUGGGACUGCGGCCUAUCAGUUUGUUGGUGAGGUAAUGGCCCACCAAGACUAUUACAGGUACGGGCUCUGAGAGGAGUAGCCCGGAGAUGGGUACUGAGACACGGACCCAGGCCCUAUGGGGCGCAGCAGGCGAGAAAACUUUGCAAUGUGCGAAAGCACGACAAGGUUAAUCCGAGUGGUUCCUGCUAAAGGAACCUUUUGUUAGUCCUAGAACCACUAACGAAUAAGGGGUGGGCAAGUUCUGGUGUCAGCCGCCGCGGUAAAACCAGCACCUCAAGUGGUCAGGAUGAUUAUUGGGCCUAAAGCAUCCGUAGCCGGCUCUGUAAGUUUUCAGUUAAAUCUGUACGCUUAGCGUACAGGCUGCCGGGAAUACUGCAGAGCUAGGGAGUGGGAGAAGUAGACGGUACUCGGUAGGAAGUGGUAAAAUGCUUUGAUCUAUCGAUGACCACCUGUGGCAAAGGCGGUCUACCAGAACACGUCCGACGGUGAGGGAUGAAAGCUGGGGGAGCAAACCGGAUUAGAUACCCGGGUAGUCCCAGCUGUAAACUAUGCAAACUCAGUGAUGCAUUGGCUUGUGGUCAAUGCAGUGCUGCAGGGAAGCCGUUAAGUUUGCCGCCUGGGAAGUACGCACGCAAGUAUGAAACUUA
rnacentral:rRNA from 1 species